AACAACAUUCUCCUAAUCCCUAGCCAGGCCAGCCAUGUGGGAACAACAUUCUCCUAAUCCCUAGCCAGGCCAUCCAUGUGGGAACAACAUUCUCCUAAUCCCUAGCCAGCCGUGUGGGAACAACAUUCUCCUAAUCCCUAGCCAGCCAGUGUGGGAACAACAUUCUCCUAAUCCCUAGCCAGCCAUGUGGGAACAACAUUCUCCUAAUCCCUAGCCAGCCAUGUGGGAACAACAUUCUCCUAAUCCCUAGCCAGGCCAGCCAUGUGGGAACAACAUUCUCCUAAUCCCUAGCCAGGCCAGCCAUGUGGGAACAACAUUCUCCUAAUCCCUAGCCAG
ensembl:lncRNA